rnacentral:rRNA from 1 species
UACGUAGGGUGCGAGCGUUGUCCGGAAUUAUUGGGCGUAAAGAGCUCGUAGGCGGUCUGUCGCGUCGGAUGUGAAAGCCCGGGGCUUAACUCCGGGUCUGCAUUCGAUACAAACAAACUAGAGUGUGAUAAAAAAGAUCGGAAUUCCUGGUAUAGCGGUGAAAUGCGCAGAUAUCAAAAGGAACACCAGUGGCGAAAACAGAUCUCUGGACCAUUACUGACGCUGAGGAGCGAAAGCGUAGGGAGCGAACAGG